rnacentral:tRNA from 1 species
GUGCCCUCUGGACCAAGGAGAUCAAAUUUGGCAAUUCUGAAUUGCUUGAUGAUGCAGAAGGCGUGGGUUUCAUCCCUACGGAGCGCU